rnacentral:lncRNA from 1 species
GUAGUAGCAUAGUUUUUCCUGGUUCAGUUUUACUUGAGUGCUGAAACAGUUUUAGAGUAAUAUAGGAAGCAAUGAUGAUAGGUUUUUGCAGUGAUCAUGCAUUUUUUUAAUGGAAGCAGAGUUCAGAAAAUAGUUUUUGUUCUUUUUUUUUUUAAGUAACCAUUCUUUUUUUCUAACAUACUAUACUCUUGAGUGUAUUUGAGCUUUUAACUCAAAGCCUAGUUUUCUGGGAAAAGUGUGAAGUAUGAUCUAUAAUCGUCAAAAGAUGGUUCUAAACUGAGGACCUUGAGCAUUUGAAGUCACAGAGGAUCCUGUAUUCCUUAGCAAGAAAUUAAGAAAAUGUUGGAAACAUCACAGUUGUGCAGGAUCAAUUUGACUUGGAACUCAAUCAGGUUUGAUUCAAUAAUAGCUGUCAAGUGUGCAGGCUGUAAUUGUACUACUGCUCACAGGCAAGAGUUCUGAAGCCAGAUGACAAAAAAGAAACUUUUCACCAUGGUGGUCUCAGAUGAGAAAUGAAGCCUUGGCAAGAAAUCUGACUUCAUUGCGGUCCCAUCAAGCUAUGUCCAAAAACAAGACAGCAGUUUAGAGAUAAAUGCUAUUAAUUCUGAUGUAAAAUUCUUAGUCUUUUGGAAAAUCAAAACAGUACUUUCUGACUCUGCUACUUGACAUCUCAGGAAACAACCUCAGG